AAUCAAGCAAGACUACUCCCUGAAUUUUAAGCAUAUUAUUAAGGGAAGGAAAAGAAAAUAACUAUGAUACCCGCAGUAAUGGCGAAUGAAGGGUAAAGCUCAAGCUUAAAAUCUAGUCUCUUUUGAGAUUCGAAUUGUAGUGUAAAUUAACAUUAAUAUGGUCAUGAUAAUUGCCUAAGUGUGAACAUCUGAAUUUCCUAUCAAAGACGGUGAUAAUCCGGUAUGGUAGUUUUGAUUGGCUAAAUAUUCUUGUUAUUUAAAGAGUCGAGUUGUUUGGGGAUUGCAACUCUAAUAAAGGUGAUAGAUUUCAUCUAAAGCUAAAUAUAUUAGGAAAACCGAUAGCAAAGAAGUAACUGUGAAGGAAAGGUGAAAAGAACUUUGAAAAGAGAGUUAAAAGUAG
rnacentral:rRNA from 1 species